rnacentral:rRNA from 1 species
CGUGUGUGAAGAAGGCCUUCGGGUUGUAAAGCACUUUCAGUCGUGAGGAAGGUAGUGUAGUUAAUAGCUGCAUUAUUUGACGUUAGCGACAGAAGAAGCACCGGCUAACUCCGUGCCAGCAGCCGCGGUAAUACGGAGGGUGCGAGCGUUAAUCGGAAUUACUGGGCGUAAAGCGCAUGCAGGUGGUUUGUUAAGUCAGAUGUGAAAGCCCGGGGCUCAACCUCGGAAUAGCAUUUGAAACUGGCAGACUAGAGUACUGUAGAGGGGGGUAGAAUUUCAGGUGUAGCGGUGAAAUGCGUAGAGAUCUGAAGGAAUACCGGUGGCGAAGGCGGCCCCCUGGACAGAUACUGACACUCAGAUGCGAAAGCGUGGGGAGCAAACAGGAUUAGAUACCCUGGUAGUCCACGCCGUAAACGAUGUCUACUUGGAGGUUGUGGCCUUGAGCCGUGGCUUUCGGAGCUAACGCGUUAAGUAGACCGCCUGGGGAGUACGGUCGCAAGAUUAAAACUCAAAUGAAUUGACGGGGGCCCGCACAAGCGGUGGAGCAUGUGGUUUAAUUCGAUGCAACGCGAAGAACCUUACCUACUCUUGACAUCCAGAGAACUUUCCAGAGAUGGAUUGGUGCCUUCGGGAACUCUGAGACAGGUGCUGCAUGGCUGUCGUCAGCUCGUGUUGUGAAAUGUUGGGUUAAGUCCCGCAACGAGCGCAACCCUUAUCCUUGUUUGCCAGCACUUCGGGUGGGAACUCCAGGGAGACUGCCGGUGAUAAACCGGAGGAAGGUGGGGACGACGUCAAGUCAUCAUGGCCCUUACGAGUAGGGCUACACACGUGCUACAAUGGCGCAUACAGAGGGCGGCCAACUUGCGAGAGUGAGCGAAUCCCAAAAAGUGCGUCGUAGUCCGGAUCGGAGUCUGCAACUCGACUCCGUGAAGUCGGAAUCGCUAGUAAUCGUGGAUCAGAAUGCCACGGUGAAUACGUUCCCGGGGCCUUGUACACACCGCCCGUCACACC